AGUAAUAGUUCGGAGCAGCAAAUGUUUCUUUCGCUCCUAUGUUAAUACCAGCCGUGAUCAACACACCUUUGGAAAGAAGUGACAAGCAAACAUCCCAGGCUGGCGAAUAGUGUUAAAGUCAACCGAAAUAUGUGUGCGAUAGUGACGUUGAUUGUACCAACUUUAUCAGAAUAAAUUGAUUUCCGAACAGACAGCGAUGUGACAGUUUUGGACUGAAUGACGGAGCAGACGAAAUUCAACCAACAAAGUGUAUUCCGCGGGACCCUACACCAAGGCAGGCGAUACCAGUUCCAUGGGAAGAAUAAUAAAUGAAUGUUGACGGAAGGAUAUCGUCAAACAAUGUGGAUUGCGAUUGCAAAAAGAAACGGGACCACAUGAUGAGAUGGUGGCGAGCCACAGUAAGACUCCGGGAUCUGUGCGACUCUUCUAGUGUUGUGGGGCAACGCUAUUGCGGUCGGUCCGUGUUACAAACAAAAUAAUGAUUCGUCCCUAUCUAGCCGAUAUAUUAAAUGAUUGAAGAAUCGUACCCCAUAGACAACAUAUGAUGGAUUCAAGAUAAGAACAAUUAAAUGUCUGGAUCCACAAUUAUUCAAGAUUAAUCUAACCCAAUGAAGUAAUAAAUUUAAGUUGGAAAUAAAGAAUAAAGAACAUUAUGAAAUUAUAACAAUAAUUAUUUAUUAUAAUUGUAGAAAAUACAUUGGGAUAAAGCAAAGCAAUGCCAAAUUUUUGCCUCUCUGUAUUGAAAACGUGUUUUCGGAUUGUGUGGCAUGAUUUCAAUUUCACAGCUCUACAAUUAAUUUCGGAAGUUCGAACUUUUCAUUUUAGAAGUAGAUAAUGGGUGACUUUUGAAUCGACAGUGAAUUGAUUUUUCUACUCUCUACUAGAUAGUAUCAAUGGAACUUUUUAUUUUGGGAAAAUACUGAGUUACUUGCUCUAGUCUGCCAUCAUAUAUGUAGGUAAAAGCUAAUGACAUGUUUUUAAUAGCAUUACCCAUUGAUUCUUGUUCGGGGGCAAUG